CAAUGCAUGGUUGGAUAUUGCAAUAAUAGAAAAUGCAAGAUUGGAGGCUUAAGAAAAUCAAACAAAUAUAAAGUGGUUCCACAUGUGUAUGCAUGUAAUGGAGUUGGCUACCGUCUUUUAUGGGAAUGAUUUCUAUCACACGAGGCUUGUAUACUAAUGCAAGCAAGGAUCAAUGGAUCUCUACUCAUUUAUAGAGUUCUAAUUCCAAGUGGAACUCAUAGAAUUACUUACUAAAUUCAAAUUGAAUUUUUCUAUUUGGGUACUAAUAACAAACUUGGGUACUUUCUAAUGAUUUAUCUUUAUUUCAGUCUUUGGAAUACUCUAUUAUUCUUCCUCGAGAAGAGAUGCCAGAGUGGGUUCACCCUAUUGAAAAGGAGUCCAUAUCUUUCAUGGCUUCAAAAGACUUGUAUGACAAGUUUUUUGGAUUUGUUUUAUGUGUCGCUAUCAACAAGCAUUAUCCCACGAGGGAAUUUGCAUUUGAAAUUGUUACCCAUGUUAAUGGCCGAAAACAGAGUUCUCCCUUCAGUUUUCAUUCAUUGGAGUUGGAUCAUAUCCAGCUUCUUUAUCUCAAACCGUCAAAGUUGUGGGGAAUAGUCGAUUUUGGUCAAAUUGAUGGAAGUCAUGUAAAAUUUGGCCUCACAGUAUACAGUAAAUACAUGAAAAAGUGGGGAUUUCGAAUAUCAUGUGAGCAACUAGAGGACAAUCUAAAAGUUAUGCUUCAAGAUAAUCGGCUAAUUGAUCCAGCUUUAUUCUACGAGAUUGAUCAUGAAUCAAUAUAUUCAGAAGUCGAGAGUUUAUUUAUGUAUGAAGAUGGUUCCAUCGAAACAAAUAGACAGAAACACUUGCAAGAUUAUUAAAGGAGAAUGGAGAAAUAUUGUCUGUAAGUACCGAGGAGAAACCAUGGUCCAUUCUACUCAAAGCAAGCGAAUCAAGACUGUUGACUGCCAGUUUGACCGAUGGAGCAGAGAAUGAUCGAGAAACUUGCUUAGGAAGCAAUUCGUUGCAUCGCGACUGAUCAUCAUCUUCCGUCCGAUACCGCCGAGCUCUGGCGAAUUCAAGAUCGCCACCUGUCAACGGAAGCGACAAACAAAAGAAGUACGUCUUCCUGAAACGGAGUCCCUAGCGAAUCUACGGCGACGGCGGCGGAGACCAGCGAGCGGAGGCGACGGACUACCACUCCGCCGCCGACCGAAGCCAUGGAAACUGAUGAAACAACUUGGGGUGAACGAUUCUCUACUGAGGUUCUGGGCUUCGUUCAGAUUGCUAUAGAUCAGCUCGAUUUUGAAUUCGAUUUGUGCGGUGCUGCAAUUGCGCGGGAACUCGAAGAAUGCGUCCGUGGAUUUGUUCGAGAGACGUUGAAUAAGGUGUUUCUUCGUAAGUUUGGUCUGUGGAUGCUUGGUAGUGAAUUCACUGGCAAUCGAUGGGACACGCUGCAAAAUCAGCAACAAUCCCCAGUAGGAGGUUGGGACUCCCUUAUGCAAACUAGGCAUUGCU